rnacentral:rRNA from 1 species
AUACGUAGGUGGCAAGCGUUGUCCGGAUUUAUUGGGCGUAAAGGGAGCGCAGGUGGUUUCUUAAGUCUGAUGUGAAAGCCCACGGCUUAACCGUGGAGGGUCAUUGGAAACUGGGAAACUUGAGUACAGAAGAGGAAUGUGGAACUCCAUGUGUAGCGGUGGAAUGCGUAGAUAUAUGGAAGAACACCAGUGGCGAAGGCGACAUUCUGGUCUGUUACUGACACUGAGGCUCGAAAGCGUGGGGAGCAAACAGGAUUAGAUACCCUGGUAGUCCACGCCGUAAACGAUGAGUGCUAGGUGUUGGAGGGUUUCCGCCCUUCAGUGCCGCAGUUAACGCAUUAAGCACUCCGCCUGGGGAGUACGACCGCAAGGUUGAA